CAUGAAGGCAGACCUAUUUUUGAGAAAAGGAGGAGGCGGCUGAUAAACCCAAGACAUAUUUGGGCAUUCCCCGAGGCCAACUGCCCAUCCCUUGAGAGGACUGCGGAGAUACAGCAGUAUGUGAAUAGGCUUCUGCAAGGAGGCCAGCUUUCUCCAAUAGCAGGUAGAGCUGUGCCACAGCAGGAUGCAGACAGAGGCCGUGCCUGUGUGCAGGAGGACAGGACAAUGCCUAUUCUGGGUUGUUUGGCUCCUCUGCAGCUGCAAGUUCAGAAGUUAAUGUGCGUUAUCUGUGGAUGGGGAAAACCACUAAGUGGAGAACAAUCUUUAAUAAUGAAAGUGCAGAAGAGAGACCAGCAGUGGUGUUUUUAAGACUUUCGACUUUCCCAUGAUGUUGAGAAUCCAUCCCCUCCAUGUUUUGUGCUUUAUGUUUUGUACCAUCACUUUGCCUCUCACCUAAAAACUGCACCUGUUGUGUUCUUUGUUCAUUCUGCUCUGAUAUCAGCCAAAAUUGUGACUUGUGGCCUCUUGUCAGCUGUGGUUAGUGUUUCCUAAAAGUGCACUAGCCCAAACUGUUUUCUGCAUUAUUUCACCACAGUGAGAUGAAACAAUUAACGGGUUGCAAAUGUGACAACACUACCACACAAGUGCUCUGCUUUGGGAAUUCAUCUCCUGCCUUAACUCAGUGCAGGGAAAGAUGUGUCUUCACUGCCUACAUCUGUACAAAGAUGCCUAAUUGAGUUCCUGUUGUCUUUGCUGCUAAUGAGACUUCUGCAUUCGGGAGGUGUAGUCUCAAAGGCACUGUUAAUCAUUCUGAAGCCUCCCAUUUGCCACAAGCCCCAAGUAGGGUAGAUGGAUCUACAGACUGAGAAGUGAAAACAGUGCACCUGACAGAUAUGCCUACGGUGACUAUAUAAAGGAGGGAGAUCAUCUUGCUUUCUGUAGACUUACAGUUAGUGCUAGCAAAUGCUUAGACCCUAAAAGAACUAGUGAAUUCAACUGCCUAAAAUGCACAAAUAGCAACACUUGCCCCCACAGAGAGGAACUUCCUCCUAUAAUCCAUCAGUGAUUUCAAGCUGGAACCUUCAGGACGUGCCCCCCCACCCCCCCCACCCUCCCCAGCACAAGGAGAUGCAGCUCACACUGAUCUUCCUGCAGCUCCUUUCUACUUUGUUCCUCUAAUUUAUUCCUUUGGGACCAGGGCUAACAAGGGGGUGAUAAUUACCUGCUGACUGCUUUAUUAAUCUUCAGUGACCUGCUGGGCCACAGGAACCCCCUCCCCAUGCUUCAGGGAGGUGAGAGCCAUGCUGUGGGUGCCUCAGUCCAUGUCUGCCAUCUCACACCUGAGUGCAGCCAUCUGUACUGCCCUUGAUCUAACACAAGUGAAAUAUAAAAUUAACAUGAUAAGACAGCUGGGGCCAGGUUAAUUGGAAGCUGGAGACGGUUUAUUUCUUCUUCUAUUCUUUUAUUCUACUGCAUCUUACCAAGAUCCUUUAAAAGGUUUUUAUCUGCCUGCUGCAUGGUGAUGUUGCUCACCAGAGCUGCCUCUGUUCUUGUGGAAAGCUGACAUGCUUCUGCGGGGUACUUAAUUGCGGCACAGCAACUUUAUGUACAGCAAGUCACAGAGCUGUCACUAACCGGAGUUAGUGCACUGUGGUUCCUGGCCUCUGAGCUUCAAGAGAGAUGGCACUGACUCCCACAGGAAAUAUGGGAUUCCCACAGGAGCUGCUUUCCAAAUAGGCAUGGAUAGAAUGGGGCAGUGAGGACCUGCUGAACAGGCAGGUAUUUCCAUUCCAACAGAUAGUGGGGAGACAAAUGCAAGUCACAGGGCCACCAUUCCCAAAAAACUCAGUCUACACAAGUCAAAGAUGUGAGUCCUUCUAUAGCCAAAAUAUCUCUGGCUGUAAGGUUAUCCCAAACAAGGUUAUUGCCAUGGUUGCCUGAUCUCUCACUGUCACAGCCCAGCAUAUUGUUUGCCAUUUCUCUUUGAGGGUCAGUCUGAUGCUGUUAGCAAGUACGCUGGUGUGCAGAGGACUACCCUUAAUAGGAAGUUAAGGCCUUAUUAAACAUCUUUAUAACCUGUAUUUUCAAGCUGUUCACACAUAGAAUUCCUCUUCAUGGUUUAAAAAUGAAACUCCAGCUGUAACAGGGAUCCAUCACCUCUCACAGGUGCAGAUGCAAAGAGUUUGUAGCAUUUUAAAGGUUUAUCCAGCCUAAUUGUGUGUCUGGAUUUGUUUUCAGUUUUUUCCUUCUUGAAUGAUCUUUUCCAUCCUUCCAAAAUGCAAUUAGUAAAGUUCAUCAAGUGUGCCAUCAACUUUAGAGAAAGCAAAUUUGAAACAAGUGACAAAUGCUUCCCCUGCUGGCUAGGAUGGCAGGCUGUGUGUGCCUAACCAGCUGUGUCUAUUUGAGACUGUAGAACAAUACUUGCAUUCUAUUCAUAAAUUAUCUAUGGAUAUGGAAGAUGGUUUCAUGUAAGUCUUCUUCCUACACAGUUGGCUGAAUUUACCCUAAUUCUCUAAUCUUGUCCACACCAGCACAUCUUUCUUCACCGCAAAGCAGCAGUUUACUAAGAGCUCUGAGUAUCUCAGCAGAGGUCAUAAAGUUACUUUUAAAUACUAGCACAGAGAAUGUAAGUUUCACCUUCAGCAGCACCUCCCUUCCAGCAAGAUUGGUUUAUAAAUCUGUGAUAACUGCAUGAUGACUCUGUUUCUUCCUUUCAUUCUGAUAUCCACAUCUUAGUUUUUAUAGACAGGGUUGCAUAUGAUCGACGUGGCUGUUUCUUCAUGGAAUAGACUUCUGAACAAAAGGAAUAAAAGAAGUUAGGAUGCACA
ensembl:lncRNA